rnacentral:rRNA from 1 species
UUUAUUGGAGAGUUUGAUCCUGGCUCAGGAUGAACGCUGGCGGCGUGCCUAAUACAUGCAAGUCGAGCGAAUGGAUUAAGAGCUUGCUCUUAUGAAGUUAGCGGCGGACGGGUGAGUAACACGUGGGUAACCUGCCCAUAAGACUGGGAUAACUCCGGGAAACCGGGGCUAAUACCGGAUAACAUUUUGAACCGCAUGGUUCGAAAUUGAAAGGCGGCUUCGGCUGUCACUUAUGGAUGGACCCGCGUCGCAUUA